CAGUAGCCUCCUAGUUCAUCCAGGGCUUCUGGUUGGGGUAGGCCCUGAUGCGUUUGUCUACGGUAACAGUGUCUAUGCAGCUCUUAAUAUUAUGCAGGACACUGUCUGUGAACACCUCCAGGUCUGGAUGCUCAAAAACAUCCCAGUUGGUCCUAUCAAAACAGUCCUGUAGCUGCUGAGAGGCACCAUCAGGGCAAGUUUUUACAGUCCUUCUGAUGGUAGGAGCAGUUUUCCUGAGGAGGGCAUAUGCAGGAAUUAGAAACAGGGACAAGUGGUCAGACUGGCCCAGGUGUGGUAGUAGUCUGGCCCUAUAGCCUAGCUUGAUAUUUGAAUAAACCAUGUCCAGUGUGUUAGCUCCUCUGGUAGCACACUUUACAUGCUGGUCGAGAUUGGGGAGUACUUUCUUUAAAUCUGCAUGAUUGAAGUCCCCUGCUAGGAUGUGCACAACAUCAGGAUAUCUGCUCUGCUGACUGCAUGCCCGAUAGCCGAGUUAGCAUUAGCAUCCGGCGGUAUGCUACACAUUUAAAGACCGCAUUGUGCUCUCUUGCAAGGUGCAUGUGCCUGCAUUUGACAGUCACAUACUCCAAGUGAGUGAUUCACCUUCUACACACACAUGUAUGACUUUAGGCACUCACCUUUAUUCUUUGUAAAUGUCAUAUUUUGUUGACAAUCUUAAAUCCCUCUAGUUUAAUUUAGUGCAGUGCACACAAGUAAAGCAGUGCAGAAAUGUCAGUUUGGCAAAUGAUGAUUAUUUUUGUCUCUGUCUUCUUUCACCUGAAGGAUCAUUGUUCUUCAAAGUGUGGUGAUUGCUGUCCAGACAUUUCUAUAUGUAACCAGUGCUUUAGACUGGCUGAAAUGUGUGACUGUCGGUUGCCAACCAUGCACUCAUGUUUGAGGGAGUCAUGCACUUCUCCAGCUUGUGUCAAAUGUGACUGUGCCUGCACCUGUCAGCCUCCAGAGUGUGACUCCUGCAACUGUCUAUGCUUCGAGGUCAGGAUCAGGUAGAAGAUGAGGAUGGAGGUGCACUAAUUCCAGUCGGUCGAUGAACUACAAGUAUUUUUAGUGACUCUGAGUCCUUUUAGUUUUAUCAUGUUACAAGAGAGUUUACAAUGGAAUGAUGACAGAGAACGAGGGAGGAGAGAGAUGGAGAACCAGGGCUGGGUGCAGUUCCUGGCCUGUGUCUUAAACCAGGACCAACUGUGGCAGAGCAUCAACAACCUGCUCUUGAACUCUUUUACCCUUUACCUUAAAAAAUACUAAUAAUCACACUGUUAUUGCCAUCAGAUGGCUGGCCCCUUUCUAAUUAACAGAACUUAGUUUCUGCUUUUACAUGUUAAAGGCUGAAUCAAACCUGGCACCAGCAGGGUUUUUUUUGACUGUUGUAUAUCAUAUAAUUCAAAGUAUUCGGUAGACGUGAGCUGUAUGGAUAAAACUAUCACAGUAUGUAAUUUUCUACCAAGAUAUCAAUAUAUAUUGUGAUAUUAUCCUGAAACUUUGAGUUAAUGUAUAAAGGAACCAGAAAGGAAGUGUCUCUUUUCGAUUAAUCCAAUAAAUUAAACACCUGACAAAUUAAAAUACUUCAUCAUAGUGAUGCAAAAAUUCUAUCAAAAUUCAGUUUGACCGUAAAACAGUUCUUCUCAGUGAACAGCAACAUUGCCCACAAAAUGCAGAGAUAUUAAAGCAUUAGAUACAUCAGUAACAUAAGACACACCGUUUAAAAUCUGAAUAAUGAGGAAAUGCAUGUUUCACUAAUGUUGUCGGCAGGGUACAGUACUGUGAACUGUCUUCGUCAUGAAUUUGAAGCGCUGUACUGGAUUCUUUGGUAGACUUUUGAAAAAGGCUUUUAUAUUUUGUGUUAUUCCAUAUUCUUCUUCUUAAAAUUCUAUUUGUACAAUGUAUGCCCCCUGCUUUAAUUGUUACAUGUUCUGUUCCAGUGCUUUAACAUAAAGGUCUCUCUCUCGGUU